GGGAGGGUGCCGGCUGGGAGAACAGGCAGCUGAGGACUCACCAAUGACAAAAACAGGCAUGAAGGCCCCGCAGGGCACCGGGAUGGUGGUGGCUAGUGCAGACAUCCAGAACUGCAGGCAGAAGGCGGUUCAAACAGGUGGAGGCGCCACCUGGCCCCAGGCUGCCCCCAGCUCCACCCCAAGGAGCCUACCUUAUCAGUCAGGUACCUCCGUCCUAGCUAUCCCAGAAUCCCCCAGAGAUGAAGGGAAGGGGAAGGACUCCAGAACCAGAUGGCUUGGGUUCAAACCCUCACUCUGCCAUCUAGCUGCGUGACUUUGGGCCAAUUACUUAACUUUUUUUGAGCCUCAACUUUUCAUCUUUAAAACAGGGAUACUAAUAGUACCUUUCUCAUAGCCCUGUUGGGAGGCUUAAAGGAGUUAAUGUAUGGAGAGUGCUUGGAACAGUGCCUGGCACCUAGUAAGCCAAUGUCAAUGUAAGCUCUACAUACGUAAGGAGCCCCACCUUCAUGAGAAUGAAGAUGACCAGGGUGAGGAAGACGUUGGCACGUGGUGGGUUCCAGGCCUGUGCGGUUCCAGGCGGCUCUAGCUCCUCCUCCACCAGGCCCUGGCGGACCCAUGUCCGGUUGUCAAACAGGGUGACCAGUGUCUCUUUCUGUGAGAGCUACGGGUGAACAGGGUGCCUCAGACUGGGGAACAGAUAGGAUGAAGGAAAGGGGCCCACAGGAAAGCCAGGGCAACAAGGGAUCCCAUAGUCACACUGGGACUGUUGGCUUUAGAACGGAUGAUUCCAAAGGGAAAGCGCAACUUCCUGUUCUGCCUGGGGUUACCUGUCCAGCCAUGAACUGUCCAAAGCCAGGGGGGAAGGUCAGAGUGGAGAUGAGCAGGGUCACCAGAGCCGGGAAGAGCAGGCGUCUAGGGAUGUAGGUUUCAGAGCAUCAAACAUGGGUGGUGCACCUACUACGGACUGGUGAUAGCUGGUGAUAAGCACCCCACAUGCCUCAGGGCUGAGAUCACAGCAGAGCCUUGGCUCUUACGUAAAACCAAACGGUUCUGACAGAAGGUCCCCUUUGCUGUUCCUGAUAUGAUGGCCCCAAGGGUGAUGGCCGUCCCGGGUUAUUAUGAGCCCAAAUGCCUUUCUGUUGGCUUCUGACUCCCUGAGUGGGUAGCAGCAACAGAAAGUCCACCCUCCCAGCCCUCUCUUGGACACCUCUGAGCUGCGACUCCUUCCCCUGCGCUCAGAAGCCGCCGCUGAAGGGUGCGUUGUGUGUGAGUGUGGAGAAGUUGCUAUCUCUGUCCGUUUCUCUAUGGCGUCUUAGAGUGAAGGUCAGUGUUGGGGGAAGCUGGGGUCACUCAUGAAAUUGACCACAGGUGCCACAGGGUGCAGGUUCAGCUGGCUGUCCUUUCCCUGAAGGAUGCAGUCCCAACAGAAGUCACGUCUCAGGCCUCCCUGCUCCCAAUCCUCAGGGUCACAACUGAGAAAGCUGUGCUUUAGAGAUUAAAAAAUCUCCCCCAUCUCCAUGCUUCAUGGGGUGGGUAGAAACUAAGGCUCAAACACUCUCCAGGGGGCACUGCCCUCUGGGCUAGGCUGAGGGCCUAAGGAAGCCUCAGUCUUUGAUCCAAAAUGCUCUCUUCCAUUGACAAAAAAUUCAAAAGUGCCCAUUUUCAGAUAAUUCAUAUAAAAGCCAAAAUGUUCAAGCAGCCUGGAAAACACCACUGGCUGAUUUUCUCUUUUUGACUGGGCCAUUAUUUGCCAUCUCACCUGUCACUGGCCCCCCCACCCCACUGUGACCCUCACAGAACCCCAAGUGGCCUAGAGAGGAGCCCAGAACCAACUCACUUCUUCAUGAGGAAGCGGUUGAUGGUUUUCUGCUUCCGCAUCACCUGAACAAUCUUGCGGUUCAGGUAGACAAAGAGCGCUCCCCCGAAGCCACUAGCAAUACUGGAGAGGGAAGAAGCCCCAGGGUAAAAGGAGGUCUUCCCUCUUUUCCCUCCUCCUCUCCGACACACCCAGCUCCCUCAGCUCCUCACCCAAUGACAGCAAAGGCAGGCAGCUCCUGGAGGUCAAAGGGGAAGUCGAGCCGGAAUCGGGUUUUGAAGAGAGCUGUAAUGGUCUCUGAAGGGAUGGCAGAGUAGCAGAGGGAGGCAGGUGUAGCACCGAGGACCCCCACCCGAGCCAUCUCAGGGGCUCCCCUCAUCUCCCAGAUCCCCCCCACCUUCAUCACGGUUCCAGACUGCCAAGACCCGGAAGAUGAAGGCACUGAAGGUGGCAGCAAAGAAGCCCCGCCAGUAGUUCCGCACAGCGAAGAAGCCUGAGGAGCCAGGAUCUGUGUGAAGCCGGCUGAGAAAGUGAUGAGGACGAUGGGACAGGCAGCGAUGGCAUAGUCCAUGGCCCAGCUGACCAGCGCCAUGAGGAGCCCCAGCAGGACCAGGAAGAUCCAGUCUUCACCAACCCUGGACACUAGGAACUUAUGGCAGUGUACAGAACAGACUGGAAGCAGGGAAUGGAAGAAGGGGGAGGCUGGCACAAAAGUGCUUUUACCCUAUCCCCCCUCCACCCCCCAAAGGGCAGCUCUAAUGGCCUCUGUCCCCCUCAGCACGGUACAGCCAGGUCCCCCGCCCCAACCCAGAUCUCACUGUGGCAUCGGGUGCAGCGGCUCUGUCUGUAUUCCAGGAGCUCCGGGGGAGUCCGAGGGGAAGGCGGACCCCUCCAGGGCUCCGGCCCUCCCAGGCGGAUCCGAGCAGCUUCCUCUUUGGCAAAGGCCCCCAGCUCCUGAGUAUAGCGGCCAUACAUCUGAGCAAUAGGGAAGGUGGGGGUUAGCAGAUGUGGGCUGAGUGGUAAUGCAGGGAGGGCCCCUGGGGCCUCAACUCCCUUUCUCCCAGUCCCCACAUUAUAUACCCCUCCUGAACCCACAGUUCCCACUUUGGCUUGGGGUGUGGGAACAAUGCACAUUGCAGACUGUGGGGGCUGUCCUGGCUGGAGUGAUGGGGACAGCCAAGGUACAGGGACACAGCUCUGGGGGUGGCAGAAUAAUCAGUCCUCUUCUCAUAGGCCUGGGGGGGAGCACUGAGGAGGAGUGGGAGGCAAGGCCCUAGAGGAGGAAAAGAUGGAAAAACCUAAGGCAGUCUGAGAGUGGGAGGAGGGAAGGUCAGAGAAGAAGGGAUGGUCAAGGGCGUAUGGGUAACAAUAAGGGCCUCAUGGAGCUGGGGGCAGCUGAGUUGGGCCUAGGAGCAGGCGGGGCCCCAAUCCUUAUCACGUUCCUGCUGGGCCUCUGGCCUGUGACCGACUCAGCUGCACCCAUCCCGCCCAACCUAAUCCCCUUGUCCCCAUUCUCCACCCCCACCCCCCACCAGCCUGCCAGCCCAGCUGGGAGUGGAAAGUCUCUCUGAGUAGGUGGAGAGAGCUCAGUGGCCUUGACCCCACUCUGGAGCUGCCCUGAGUCCAGUGGUGGGUUGGGGGACAGCAGAAGCUGAUGGUUGGGCUGUGACUGUGGAUGCUGGGGUGAUGGGAUUAGACCUGCCAAGCUGGGCGUGUGUUGGGGGGUGGGGAGGAGUAGAUUCCGGCUGCCACCCGCAGAGCUUCGGGACACAAA